GAUGAACGCUGGCGGCGUGCCUAAUACAUGCAAGUCGAGCGAACAGACGAGGAGCUUGCUCCUCUGACGUUAGCGGCGGACGGGUGAGUAACACGUGGAUAACCUACCUAUAAGACUGGGAUAACUUCGGGAAACCGGAGCUAAUACCGGAUAAUAUAUUGUACCGCAUGGUUCAAUAGUGAAAGACGGUUUUGCUGUCACUUAUAGAUGGAUCCGCGCCGCAUUAGCUAGUUGGUAAGGUAACGGCUUACCAAGGCGACGAUGCGUAGCCGACCUGAGAGGGUGAUCGGCCACAUGGGAACUGAGACACGGUCCAGACUCCUACGGGAGGCAGCAGUAGGGAAUCUGCCGCAAUGGGGGAAAGCCUGACGGAGCAACGCCGCGUGAGUGAUGAAGGUCUUCGGAUCGUAAAACUCUGUUAUUAGGGAAGAACAAAUGUGUAAGUAACUAUGCACGUCUUGACGGUACCUAAUCAGAAAGCCACGGCUAACUACGUG
rnacentral:rRNA from 1 species